GUGAACGUUACCAAACUGUUGCCUCGGCGGGAUCUCUGCCCCGGGUGCGUCGCAGCCCCGGACCAAGGCGCCCGCCGGAGGACCAACCAAAACUCUUUUUGUAUACCCCCUCGCGGGUUUUUUAUAAUCUGAGCCUUCUCGGCGCCUCUCGUAGGCGUUUCGAAAAUGAAUCAAAACUUUCAACAACGGAUCUCUUGGUUCUGGCAUCGAUGAAGAACGCAGCGAAAUGCGAUAAGUAAUGUGAAUUGCAGAAUUCAGUGAAUCAUCGAAUCUUUGAACGCACAUUGCGCCCGCCAGUAUUCUGGCGGGCAUGCCUGUCCGAGCGUCAUUUCAACCCUCGAACCCCUCCGGGGGGUCGGCGUUGGGGAUCGGCCCUCCCUUAGCGGGUGGCCGUCUCCGAAAUACAGUGGCGGUCUCGCCGCAGCCUCUCCUGCGCAGUAGUUUGCACACUCGCAUCGGGAGCGCGGCGCGUCCACAGCCGUUAAACACCCAACUUCUGAAAUGUUGACCUCGGAUCAGGUAGGAAUACCCGCUGAACUUAAGCAUAUCAAUAAGCGGAGGAAAAGAAACCAACAGGGAUUGCCCCAGUAACGGCGAGUGAAGCGGCAACAGCUCAAAUUUGAAAUCUGGUCCCUAGGGCCCGAGUUGUAAUUUGUAGAGGAUGCUUUUGGUGAGGUGCCGCCCGAGUUCCCUGGAACGGGACGCCACAGAGGGUGAGAGCCCCGUCUGGCUGGCCGCCGAGCCUCUGUAAAGCUCCUUCGACGAGUCGAGUAGUUUGGGAAUGCUGCUCAAAAUGGGAGGUAUAUGUCUUCUAAAGCUAAAUAUUGGCCAGAGACCGAUAGCGCACAAGUAGAGUGAUCGAAAGAUGAAAAGCACCUUGAAAAGAGGGUUAAAUAGUACGUGAAAUUGUUGAAAGGGAAGCGCUUGUGACCAGACUUGGGCGCGGCGGAUCAUCCGGGGUUCUCUCCGGUGCACUUCGCCGCGUCUAGGCCAGCAUCAGUUCGUCCCGGGGGGAAAAAGCUUCCGGAACGUGGUCCUCCCGGGAGUGUUAAACCCGUUGCUAAUACCCUGCGGGGGAUGAGGACGCGACUGAGGAGUGC
rnacentral:sRNA from 1 species